GGCUUAUCCUUUUUAUCUUUUUUCAAUUUCGGACUGGCUUUUACGAUGGGCCGUAUUGAGAAAUAAACUAUUACCUUUUGCCAAAAUACUUACCUUUGUAACACUUUCUCAAUUCGGCCCUCCCUACUUGAGACAACUUGUAUUCCAUUUAUCUAGAAAUGAAGCGAUAUGCUUGAUAUUUUAAAGUAAAGGAAAGGAAAUAUCUAAUUUUGAAAGGUAAAGGACAUGACAUGCCUAAAGGUAACAGGAUGGAUAUGUCUAAUAUUCAAAGGUAAAAGAAAGGAUAUGUCUAAUAUUCAAAGGUAAAAGAAAGGUUAAGUCAAAUAUUCAAAGGUAAAAGAAAGGAUAUGUCUAAUAUUCAAAGGUAAAAGAAAGGAUAUGUCUAAUAUUCAAAGGUAAAAGAAAGGUUAAGUCAAAUAUUCAAAGGUAAAAGAAAGGUUAAGUCAAAUAUUCAAAAGUAAAAGAAAGGAUAUGUCUAAUAUUCAAAGGUAAAAGAAAGGAUAUGUCUAAUAUUCAAAGGUAAAAGAAAGGUUAAGUCAAAUAUUCAAAGAUAAAAAAAGGAUAUGUCAAAUAUUCAAAGGUAAAAGAAAGGUUAAGUCAAAUAUUCAAAGGUAAAAGAAAGGUUAAGUCAAAUAUUCAAAGGUAAAAGAAAGGUUAAGUCAAAUAUUCAAAGGUAAAAGAAAGGAUAUGUCUAAUAUUCAAAGGUAAAAGAAAGGUUAAGUCAAAUAUUCAAA